AUUAGAGUUUGAUCCUGGCUCAGGACGAACGCUGGCGGCGUGCCUAACACAUGCAAGUCGAACGAAGUAUAUUUUCGGAUAUGCUUAGUGGCGGACGGGUGAGUAACGCGUGAACAAUCUGCCCUGUACACAGGAAUAGCCUCGGGAAACUGGGAUUAAAACCGGAUAACACUUUCUGGCCGCAUGGCCGGGAAGUCAAAUUGAUUUAGAGGUACAGGAUGAGUUCGCGUCUGAUUAGCUAGUUGGUGAGGUAACGGCUCACCAAGGCGACGAUCAGUAGCCGGCCUGAGAGGGUGAACGGCCACACUGGAACUGAGACACGGUCCAGACUCCUACGGGAGGCAGCAGUGGGGAAUAUUGCACAAUGGAGGAAACUCUGAUGCAGCGACGCCGCGUGAGUGAAGAAGGUCUUCGGAUCGUAAAACUCUGUCCUUGGUGACGAAAAAAAUGACGGUAGCCAAGGAGGAAGCCCCGGCUAACUACGUGCCAGCAGCCGCGGUAAUAAU
rnacentral:rRNA from 1 species